rnacentral:rRNA from 1 species
ACACGCAUGACACACUGCAUAUCAAUAAGCGGAGGAAAAGAAACUAACAAGGAUUCCCCUUAGUAACGGCGAGUGAAGCGGGAAGAGCUCAAAUUUGAAAUCUUCAAGGUUCUACCUUGACGAAUUGUAGUUUAAAGAAGUGUUUUCUGUUAGUAGAGUGGUAAAAGUUCUUUGGGAAUAGGACAUCAUAGAGGGUGAGAAUCCCGUAUUUGAUCACUUUCUACUAGCUUUGUGAUACACUUUCAAAGAGUCGGAUUGUUUGGGAAUGCAGUCCAAAAUGGGUGGUAAAUUUCAUCUAAAGCUAAAUAUUGGCGAGAGACCGAUAGCGAACAAGUACCGUGAGGGAAAGAUGAAAAGAACUUUGAAAAGAGAGUUAAACAGUACGUGAAAUUGUCAAAAGGGAAGCGUUUGACACCAGUGUUGUUUUUCCGAAAAUCAAUUACGAAUGUUUUAUUUUUGAGAAGUUAUGACUUCAUCGGCUUGCUUCUCUCUUUACUGAAACUUUCUUAAUGCACUUUUCGGUUAACAAGUCAACAUCGAUUUCUUUUGUUGUAAAAGGGUAUGAGGAAGGUGGCUUUCUUUUCGGAGAAAGUGUUUAUAGCCUUGUACCUCUGCAAUCGGAGAGAUUGAGGUCUGCAGCGUAGAUCCUUCGGGGUUAGAUACAUUUGUGCUAAGCUAUAGCCUUUCAUAGACAACUUGUUGACUAUGAUCAGUCAUGUAGCUUACUCGCUUAUGCUAUUUUACCUACGCUUAGGAUGUUGAGCGCAUGUCUCUCUC